GGAAUAUAAGAAUCUGUCUCUUAACUUUUAACUAAAAAAGCUAAGAACCGGUUCUUAAAUAAGAACUGGUUUUUAGCUUUUUUAGUUAAAAGUUAAGAGACGGAUUAUUAUAUUCC
rfam:Brassica napus, WGS project CCCW01000000 data, contig: 5225